rnacentral:lncRNA from 1 species
AUGUAGAUUAUAAACAUAUGGGCUUAUGAAGUGUUCAUAUGAUAUAACAACACAUCGUGCAAAGGUAGUGAAAGCAUCUUUUUUAUAUUUUUACACACUUAAAUUGAUGCUAAACUAUUUAGCUAGCAUAAAUUUAGGUAAAAUAGUAAAUCAAUGAGAUAUGUAGGAAUAAUGCUAAAACUUUUACCACAAAUCAAGCAUCACAUUAAAUAGGCUACCAUAAAAUUUUGGAGCAAGAUAACUCAUAGGCA